AAAAUGACUCUCGGCAACGGAUAUCUCGGCUCUCGCAUCGAUGAAGAACGUAGCGAACUGCGAUACUUGGUGUGAAUUGCAGAAUCCCGUGAACCAUCGAGUCUUUGAACGCAAGUUGCGCCCAAAGCCAUUAGGCCGAGGGCACGUCUGCCUGGGCGUCACG
rnacentral:rRNA from 1 species